UCAAAAUGUGCCUAUGUAGUUUUUGCUUCUC
rnacentral:piRNA from 1 species